GGUGUGCAUUGUUAGAGCUUGGAGUUGAGGUCACAAACUAGCCAAUGAACUCACAAGUGUAGGCAGUGUGCUACAUGAGUGGCAAGUUUUCACUAACACUCUAAUCUGGCCUGUGAGUGGAGUUUGAUAGUAACCUUUGUACAAGU
rnacentral:snoRNA from 1 species